rnacentral:misc_RNA from 1 species
GCUUCUUCUUUUAGGUACUUGAACACGACCAAGACCGCAUCCUCUACCUCUUCCUCGUCCUCUUUGGCUUCCACCAUCAUUCAAAGAAACCUUGGUUUUAAGGAUUUGCUCUAAAGGCUCUUCUUGUCUUCUCUUCAUUUUGUCUUCAUGAGCUUGCAAAGACCCCUCUAACUCCUUAAUUGUCAUGGAGUCUAAAUCUUUUGAUUCUUCAACGGCACACACCACAUAAUCAAAUUUUGGUGUCAAAGAUCAAAG